CAACUGUCUAACUGAAGAUCACGCCUGGUAUUUCUCAGUUUGCAUGGAUUAUGAGUGGGGAAAGCAAGGAUUUCCCAGUUUACUGCAGAAGCUGCAAAUUACCUUUUAAUUGAGUCCCUUGAUUCAAGUCUUUAGAGAAGUAAUCCUGCCUUCUGCAUUCACUGGCCUCUAGAAAUACUGAGAGGAGGCAGAAGAUGACCAGAGAAGACCAUCCACAGGCCAGAGUACCUAAUACCUAGUGAAAC
rnacentral:lncRNA from 1 species